UAUUUAUUUAUUUUUUUUUUGCAGUUUUAUACCUUUAUUUGACAAUCAGCAAUUAGUUCUCAUCCACAUUAACAGUCUUCUGUAGAUUUUUGAAAGUGGUGACAGGUACAUAGGUAACCAACGUACAGAGCUUGUUUGGUGAAUCCUCAUCCUUGUUACGUUUUCUGGUCAACCACACAUGGAUACGGUAUGGAACAUUCCUUGUUCCUUUGGCCCAGACAGCUUUGUUGAGCCUGGUGUCGAUGCGCACAUCUGGGGUUCCCGUCUCCUUCAUAGCAAAUUUCCGGAUCUCUUUGAGUGCCCGAGGGGCAUGCUUCUUCAAACCCACUCCAUGGAUGCGCUUGUGAAUGUUGACGGUGUAGUCUCUGGUUACUACCUCGUUGAUGGCAGAACGGCCCUUCUUCUUCUCUCCAUCCUUCUUUGCGGGAGCCACCCUGCCAGGCCCGGGUUGGAAA